rnacentral:rRNA from 1 species
GAUGAACGCUGGCGGCGUGCCUAAUACAUGCAAGUCGAGCGAACGGACGAGAAGCUUGCUUCUCUGAUGUUAGCGGCGGACGGGUGAGUAACACGUGGAUAACCUACCUAUAAGACUGGGAUAACUUCGGGAAACCGGAGCUAAUACCGGAUAAUAUUUUGAACCGCAUGGUUCAAAAGUAAAAGACGGUCUUGCUGUCACUUAUAGAUGGAUCCGCGCUGCAUUAGCUAGUUGGUAAGGUAACGGCUUACCAAGGCAACGAUGCAUAGCCGACCUGAGAGGGUGAUCGGCCACACUGGAACUGAGACACGGUCCAGACUCCUACGGGAGGCAGCAGUAGGGAAUCUUCCGCAAUGGGCGAAAGCCUGACGGAGCAACGCCGCGUGAGUGAUGAAGGUCUUCGGAUCGUAAAACUCUGUUAUUAGGGAAGAACAUAAGUGUAAGUAACUGUGCACAUCUUGACGGUACCUAAUCAGAAAGCCACGGCUAACUACGUG